rnacentral:rRNA from 1 species
GGACGAACGCUGGCGGCGUGCUUAACACAUGCAAGUCGAGCGGUAAGGCCCUUUCGGGGUACGACGAGCGGCGAACGGGUGAGUAACACGUGGGUGACCUGCCCUUAGCUCUGGGAUAAGCCUGGGAAACUGGGUCUAAUACCGGAUAUGACCUCAUGACGCAUGUUGUGGGGUGGAAAGCCUUGUGCGGCUAGGGAUGGGCCCGCGGCCUAUCAGCUUGUUGGUGGGGUGAUGGCCUACCAAGGCGACGACGGGUAGCCGGCCUGAGAGGGCGACCGGCCACACUGGGACUGAGACACGGCCCAGACUCCUACGGGAGGCAGCAGUGGGGAAUCUUGCGCAAUGGGCGAAAGCCUGACGCAGCGACGCCGCGUGAGGGAUGACGGCCUGG